rnacentral:rRNA from 1 species
AUUGAACGCUGGCGGCAUGCUUUACACAUGCAAGUCGAACGGUAACAGGCCUUCUGGUGCUGCCGCUUGGCUAACGGGUGAGUAAUGCAUCGGAACGUACCCAGCGCUGGGGUUUAACGCAGCUAAAGCUGUGCUAAUACCGCAUGUGAUCUGAGGUUCAACGCGGUGGACCGUGCUGCAAUGUUUGGCCUCGUGGCUUUGGAGCGGCCGAUGUCGGAUUAGUUAGUUGGGGGGGUAAAGGCCUACCAGGUCGACGAUCCGUAGCUGGUCUGAGAGGACGAACAGCCACACUGGGACUGAGACACGGCCCAGACGCCUACGGGAGGCAGCAGUGGGGAAUGUUGGACAAUGGGCGCAAGCCUGAUCCAGCAAUGCCGCGUGCGGGAAGAAGGCCUUCGGGUUGUAAACCGCUUUUGGCAGGAACGAAACGGUGUCCGCUAAUACCGGGCGCUAAUGACGGUACCUGCAGAAUAAGCACCGGCUAACUACGUG